rnacentral:lncRNA from 1 species
CUUCCAUUUCCACGUUUAAAUAAUCUUUCUCCACCCAUCAUCUUCUCCAUUUCCUUAAUAAAAAACUCAUCCCACCUUCCUUCCACAGUUCCAUUCUCAGAAAGCUUUGUCACUUAGCUCCGUUAAUCCAUGUGAGUUUGUACAUAAGUAUGCUUAUUGGUGUGUUUACUUAUGUAUUAGCAUAUAUUAGUGCUCGUGGUUUGUAUUUAAGUUUGU